AUAUGCCAUGUGAAGAUGCAGGGAGAAUGUGACAUCUGCAAGCCAGGGAGAGAGGCUUCAGGAGAAACCCGCUCUGCUGACACUUUGAUCUCAAGCUCUGGCCACCAGAACUGUGAGCAAAUAAGUGUCUGUUGUUUAGGGCAAACUGUCCAUGGCACCUUGCUUCGAUAGCCCCAGGAAACGAAUCCACAGCACAGGUUUGUGCUCAGAAGCCCCUACACCAGCUGCUGCGUGAUGGAGAAUAGGAGUCAAAACACGGAGGCCGGCAGAAAAUCAAGAGGCCGGUCCCAUGCACGGGCAAGAGGCCUCAGGGAUAUAUUAGCUGAGGAGGAAGCUGAGGUUGGGAGAGGUGGAGGGACUUGCCCAAGUCACACAAAGGACAACUCAGCAGAGCUGAGAAUUGGCACCCAGGGCAACUGGAGUCCGUCUUAAGCUUGUCACCACUGGGCUCUGAGACCUCCUGGUGAAGAGGGACAGUGGCAGAGACAGCCCAACACAGAGAAACCCAGCAACGCUACUUUCUAAGGACAUUUUUCCCUCUCAUUUGGAAUCCUGAGCCUCCUGCUCGCCCUGUAGGCCACACCCAGCAAACAGGCGGGUUUCAUUUCCUGGAGAAACCACAGAUGGAAAGUCCCAGCCAUGGGCUCCGUGUGACCUGGUGGCCUUAAGAAGCUCCCCCUACCGCCCCUCAGCCCUUUAAUCAUUUACAAAGCAGGGCCACACAGAGCAUCUAUUUUCUUUCUGGAACAUCAGAACUGGCUGGGAACUGGGAGAAGAGCUGGAGCAACACCCUGCAUCCAUUUCCUCUCGCUGCCAUAACAAGUAAUCACAAGAUGGAGUCUCACUCUGUCACCCAGGCUGGAGUGCAGUGCCGCAAUCUCGGCUCACUGCAGUUACCUCCUCUCAGGUUCAAUCGAUUCUCCUGCCUCUGCCUCCUGAGUAGCUGGGAUUACAGAAUGUGAGCAUGGAGUCUGGAGCAAGAGCAGCUGUUGUGCACUGUGAGGUUGAAGCCGUGUGUUGAGAAUAGCAGAGCAACAAAGCAAUAGGAGCUGGAGCCCCCAGGGGCCAUGAAGCCCCUACCAGCCCUGGACUGCUUAGAUUUACUUGAGCAAGAAAUAAACCCUUGAUUGUUUAAA